rnacentral:rRNA from 1 species
GGAUAACAUGUUGAACCGCAUGGUUCUACAGUGAAAGACGGUCUUGCUGUCACUUAUAGAUGGACCCGCGCCGUAUUAGCUAGUUGGUGGGGUAACGGCCUACCAAGGCGACGAUACGUAGCCGACCUGAGAGGGUGAUCGGCCACACUGGAACUGAGACACGGUCCAGACUCCUACGGGAGGCAGCAGUAGGGAAUCUUCCGCAAUGGGCGAAAGCCUGACGGAGCAACGCCGCGUGAGUGAUGAAGGUCUUCGGAUCGUAAAGCUCUGUUGUUAGGGAAGAACAAAUGUGUAAGUAACUGUGCACAUCUUGACGGUACCUAACCAGAAAGCCACGGCUAACUACGUGCCAGCAGCCGCGGUAAUACGUAGGUGGCAAGCGUUAUCCGGAAUUAUUGGGCGUAAAGCGCGCGUAGGCGGUUUUUUAAGUCUGAUGUGAAAGCCCACGGCUCAACCGUGGAGGGUCAUUGGAAACUGGAAAACUUGAGUGCAGAAGAGGAAAGUGGAAUUCCAUGUGUAGCGGUGAAAUGCGCAGAGAUAUGGAGGAACACCAGUGGCGAAGGCGGCUUUCUGGUCUGCAACUGACGCUGAUGUGCGAAAGCGUGGGGAUCAAACAGGAUUAGAUACCCUGGUAGUCCACGCCGUAAACGAUGAGUGCUAAGUGUUAAGGGGGUUUCCGCCCCUUAGUGCUGCAGCUAAC